rnacentral:tRNA from 3 species
GGGUAUAGUUCAGUUGGUAGAACGUCGGUCUCCAAAACCGGAUGUCGGGGGUUCGAGUCCUCUUGCC